GACGGAGGGUGCAAGCGUUGUUCGGAUUGACUGGGCGUAAAGGGCGUGUAGGCGGUUUGUUAAGUCGGGUGUGAAAGCCCGGGGCUCAGCCCCGGAAGUGCGCCCGAAACUGGCGAGCUGGAGCGCGGUAGAGGAGGGUGGAAUUCCUGGUGUAGCGGUGAAAUGCGUAGAUAUCAGGAGGAACACCGGCGGCGAAGGCGGCCCUCUGGACCGUUGCUGACGCUGAGACGCGAAAGCGUGGGGAGCAAACAG
rnacentral:rRNA from 1 species